ACAGUGGAGCUGAAGCACAUUAACAGUUGUUAUUCAGUGAACUGAAAGAUUGUUUAGCUGAAAGCAUAAUUGUGAAUGAGAAGCUUGAGCGGUCAUACGUGAGGCAUAUUUAUAUUAGAGAGAUUAAAAAACACAGAAAGUUACACAGUUCUCCUUCAUCCCAUCGACCACGAAUAACCGCUCCAUUUCCUCCUGUUCGUUUCUUUUGCAUGUGUAAUCAUUUUCCUUUUGUUUCAAGAAAACUCAGAGCAUGGUAUGUACACUCUCUUGUGCUGCGCUGUUUUUUAUUAAUUUAGUAGUAUGUCAUGAGAGCAUCUUCA
rnacentral:lncRNA from 1 species